rnacentral:rRNA from 1 species
GAUGAACGCUGGCGGCGUGCCUAAUACAUGCAAGUCGAGCGAACAGACGAGGAGCUUGCUCCUCUGACGUUAGCGGCGGACGGGUGAGUAACACGUGGAUAACCUACCUAUAAGACUGGGAUAACUUCGGGAAACCGGAGCUAAUACCGGAUAAUAUAUUGAACCGCAUGGUUCAAUAGUGAAAGACGGUUUUGCUGUCACUUAUAGAUGGAUCCGCGCCGCAUUAGCUAGUUGGUAAGGUAACGGCUUACCAAGGCAACGAUGCGUAGCCGACCUGAGAGGAUGAUCAGCCACACUGGAACUGAGACACGGUCCAGACUCCUACGGGAGGCAGCAGUGGGGAAUCUUCCGCAAUGGGCGAAAGCCUGACGGAGCAACGCCGCGUGAGUGAUGAAGGUCUUCGGAUCGGAAAACUCUGUUAUUAGGAAAGAACAAAUGUGUAAGUAACUAUGCACGUCUUGACGGUACCUAAUCAGAAAGCCACGGCUAACUACGUG